rnacentral:rRNA from 1 species
AUGCCAGAAGAAUGGAGACGGAGUAUAUUAGUACCAAUCUUCAAGAACAAGGGGGAUGUUCAGAGUUGUACUAAUUACCGUGGAAUUAAGCUGAUGAGCCAUACAAUGAAGCUAUGGGAGAGAGCCAUUGAGCACCGCUUAAGAAGAAUGACAAGCGUGACCAAAAAUCAGUUUGGUUUCAUGCCUGGGAGGUCGACCAUGGAAGCCAUUUUCUUGGUACGACAACUUAUGGAGAGAUAUAGGGAGCAAAAGAAGGACUUGCAUAUGGUGUUCAUUGACUUGGAGAAGGCCUAUGAUAAGAUACCGCGGAAUGUCAUGUGGUGGGCCUUGGAGAAACACAAAGUCCCAGCAAAGUACAUUACCCUCGUCAAGGACAUGUACGAUAAUGUUGUGACAAGUGUUCGAACAAGUGAUGUCGACACUGAUGACUUCCCGAUUAAGAUAGGACUGCAUCAGGGGUCAGCUUUGAGCCCUUAUCUUUUUUGCAUUGGUGAUGGAUGA